AGGCCAGACUGGGAUGUGUCAUGGCAGGUGAAAAUUCAUCCACAUUAUCAUUAAUGAUAGAGGAUGUUAUGAGAAUAGGACUUGUAGAACAGUUCAGCUUUGUGUACAGAUGUUUAGUAGAUAUUUUGGAGCUCUGAUUAUGUGCACAGUUGUGCUGGAGAUGAUGUGUAAGAUGCUGUCUGUUUUGUUUUGGGAAUAUUCUUUCAAAUUAGACUUGUUUUCAUGCAGGAUUUUAAUAUAAUGCAUCAGUACCAGACAGUGACUUUGGAAAAGUUUGGUUGUCAGAAGAUUAGAAUAGUUACUGCCCUUCUGAGUCAGAGUAAUUGCCUGAGUAGGUAAUGUGUUGUUAAAAUUGGUUUGAGUUGCCCUUUUUGACUCACUUUUGAACUUAAGGCAGCUGAUUUGUGCAUAGUCAUUCAUUUUGUGAAAAAGCCAGAACAGCACUACCAAAGAUAGACGACAGAGCAUUACGUGUGUUCAGGAGCAGUAAAAACUACACUAUAAUCCCAAUAGUGCUUUUUACUAAAAAGAAGUUAUUUAUUUGUACUCAUUUCAGCUAAAUAGUAAGAGUAACUUUUAUAAAUUGUUACUCUUGAGUAGAUCCAAAACUAACAGUUUGAUUUUCUAACUCAUUUACAAUAAGUACACAUAUGCUAAUCAUUUAUUUUGAGUAUUGUUGCUUUGAACUGUUCAAGUUGUGAUCACUGACUCAAACCAAAGAAAUAAACUCCUCUUUCUGGUGACAUCACUGAGCUUGCACACGAUGGUGAGGUGUUUCCCUGAACUUGUCGGCCAUUAGAGGAAAGUUUCAACAAAGAAUUUUAGCAACUUAAGUGUGAAAAUUAUGAGGAUAUGAAGGAGUCCUAUGAAGAUGCAGUUGCUCUGGUGAUUGAUGUGGAUGAGGAAGAGGAUCCUGCAGGAGUUCCUUUCUCACCACAUUAGAUGUUUGUUGUGCUUGAGGAUCAAUUUGGAAAGACUUAUAACUUAUAAACAGACACACUAGUGUGUUUGUUUGGGCUAAUCUAUGAUGUGCAUCUGAGCUAUCCUGGAAAGUGUUGUGGAUUUUUUUGAGUUCAUUCAUUAAUGUUGCAUUAUUACUGUUUGCAUGGAUUAGUGUUGAAUUCUUGUAGUUCAGCUAUAUUUGCAUUUGUUGUGGGUGUGCAUCAUUAUAUCAGAAUAUUGUGAACAAGUUAAAUAAUAAUUAAUCAAAAUGCAUCUUCUGUGAUUGCUAUGACUCAUGACAACUAAAACAAUUUACUUUAAAAAGACUGACAUUCUGACUUUGUACAGUAUUCUAAUUUACUGAUGUACACCAAAAAUCAAUGUUUCAAAAAGCAUUUAACAAUUUGAAUAAAAGUACAAAUAAAUAAAUACUGUUAAGGUGUCAGCUUUAAAAGACCAAUUUGUGAUAUUUGAUAAUGGCUUUUGCAGUCAUGAUUUAUGUUUGAAGCUGCAGUUUUGAGUUAAUAAAAACUGAAUGGAAAAAGUCAAAGUUUGGUGUGUUCAUAAGACUCAUACAAUUUUGUGCAAUCGGUUUCUCCAUUUGGAUGAGUAACUCCAGUAGAGAUCGAAGUUGUUCAAAUAAGAAACUCUGAAGUUAAUUUGACUUAAUUUUAAAGUGAACAUGUAAUCCAUUUAAAUAAGUAUGAAUCAAUAGAGCAUUUUAGUC